rnacentral:rRNA from 1 species
AUACGUAGGGGGCGAGCGUUGUCCGGAAUGAUUGGGCGUAAAGGGCGCGUAGGCGGCCCGGUAAGUCUGGAGUGAAAGCCCUGUUUUUAAGAUGGGAAUUGCUUUGGAUACUGUCGGGCUUGAGUGCAGGAGAGGGAAGUGGAAUUCCCAGUGUAGCGGUGAAAUGCGUAGAGAUUGGGAGGAACACCAGUGGCGAAGGCGACUUACUGGACUGUAACUGACGCUGAGGCGCGAAAGUGUGGGGAGCAAACAGGAUUAGAUACCCUGGUAGUCCACACUGUAAACGAUGAAUGCUAGGUGUAGGGGGUAUCGACCCCUUCUGUGCCGCAGUCAACACAAUAAGCAUUCCGCCUGGGGAGUACGGCCGCAAGGUUGAAACUCAAAGGAAUUGACGG